UACGUAGGUGGCAAGCGUUGUCCGGAUUUACUGGGCGUAAAGAGCGCGCAGGCGGUCGUUCAAGUCGCGUGUGAAAGCCUCCGGCUCAACUGGGGAGGGUCACGCGAUACUGAUCGACUCGAAGGCAGGAGAGGGUAGUGGAAUUCCCGGUGUAGUGGUGAAAUGCGUAGAUAUCGGGAGGAACACCAGUGGCGAAGGCGACUACCUGGCCUGUUUCUUGACGCUGAGGCGCGAAAGCUAGGGGAGCAAACGGG
rnacentral:rRNA from 1 species